AUUGAACGCUAGCGGGAUGCCUUACACAUGCAAGUCGAACGGAGUGGCGAACGGGUGAGUAAUGUAUCGGAACGUGCCCAGUAGCGGGGGAUAACUAUGCGAAAGCGUAGCUAUUACUGCAUACUAUUGGAGCGGCCGAUAUCGGAUUAGCUAGUUGGUGGGGUAACGGCUCACCAAGGCGAAGAUCCGUAGCCGGUUUGAGUGGACGACCAGCCACACUGGGACUGAGACACGGCCCAGACUCCUACGUGAGGCAGCAGUGGGGAAUGUUGGACAAUGGGGGAAACCCUGAUCCAGCCAUCCCGCGUGUGCGAUGAAGGCCUUCGGGUUGUAAAGCACUUUUGGCAGGGAAGCGGUACCUGCAGAAGAAGCACCGGCUAACUACGUGCCAGCAGCCGCGGUAAUAC
rnacentral:rRNA from 1 species